GACCGCCUACGGGACGCAGCAGCGGGGGAUAUGCACAAUGGGGGGAACCCUGAUGCAGCGACGCCGCGUGGGUGAAGAAGCGCCUCGGCGCGUAAAGCCCUGUCAGCAGGGAAGAAAAUGACGGUACCUGAAGAAGAAGCCCCGGCUAACUACGUGCCAGCAGCCGCGGUAAUACGUAGGGGGCAAGCGUUAUCCGGAUUUACUGGGUGUAAAGGGGGCGCAGACGGCGAUGCAAGCCAGGAGUGAAAGCCCGGGGCCCAACCCCGGGACUGCUCUUGGAACUGCGUGGCUGGAGUGCAGGAGGG
rnacentral:rRNA from 1 species